UACAAGCUGUCAGUCAUCGC
rnacentral:misc_RNA from 1 species